rnacentral:tRNA from 1 species
GCCAGCAUAGCUCAAAGGUAGAGCGGCUCCUUCGUAAGGAGUAGGUUGCGGGUUCGAAUCCCGCUGCUGGCU